rnacentral:lncRNA from 1 species
CAACAUAACUGGCUUAUUUACAUUAAAUACGCCACAAGGUUACAGUGCAGAUCAACGUCACUUUAUCGCUGAUUACUUCUCUUAAACGCCGGAGCGGUGACUGAUGCUCCGGUCCCCCUGUCCGCCAAGGUUUCCCCGGGAGUUUUUUUUUUUUUUUUUUUUUUUUUCGGAGAAACAGACUUUGCAUAGUUUCGGGAGCAGGUUUUAUUUUUCCAGUUGUGACCUUCAGUACCCAUCCUGUGUCUUUUAAGAAUUUCCUCAUCCAGGGAACAGAUUUGUUGGCCUAAGAAUAACUGCAAAGGGUCUACAAGAGUGUUGGUCACCUGUUGAUUAAAGAAUUAAAUCUCAGCAAACUCCAGCCUGGUAAGUUCAAUCAGCCCUGCAGCUCCAAGUACCUGUGCUUUGGGAAGGUGGGUGAUGGUCUUGGAACAGAGUCCAGACCUCCCUCAGCUCCUGGUCAGAGACUUCUCAAUGCA